GCCUGGUUAGCUCAGUCGGUAGAGCAUGAGACUUUUAGUCUCGAGGUCGUGGGUUUGAGCCCCACAUUGGGGCU